GGAGGGACUGUGGCUCAAGAGAAGAGCCUCUGCUGGGCACGCAGAAGGUCCCAGGUUCAAAUCCCCGGCAUCUCCA
rnacentral:tRNA from 1 species